UUGGAAUAUUGAGAAGAGCUGUCCCUAGUACGAGAGGACCGGGAUGGACGAACCUCUGGUGGACCUGUUGUGGCGCCAGCCGCAGUGCAGGGUAGCUAAGUUCGGACGGGAUAACUGCUGAAAGCAUCUAAGCAGGAAGCCUCCUUCAAAACCAGUAUUCCCUAUCAGAGCCGUGGAAGACCACCACGUUGAUAGGCUGGGUGUGGAAGUGCAGCAAUGCAUGAAGCUUACCAGUACUAAUAGCUCGAUCGACUCGAUCGU
rnacentral:rRNA from 1 species